AAUGUUCUGAAUAUAUCUGUUAAAUCCAUCUGGUCCAGUGUGUCACUCCAAGCCAUUCUUUCCUUGCUGCUUUUCUGUUUAGAUGAUCUGUCCAUUGAUACACUGGUCUUUUAAAUGGCAAAGUCCCUCUUAAUAGAAACAUAAAAGAUCUUGAUGCAGUGUUUCUAUCCAGCAUGGAACAGAGAACAGAAAGCAGCUCUGAGCAGUGACACAUGAUUUGUCAGGGAAGCAAGAUUACCAUGUGAUUCACUCAAGGAUCAUUGCCCUUCACACAUCUCAGAAGUGAGAUUGUGCCAUUAUAGCUGUGUCAUCUACAACUUUCAUAUUUUUGUUACUGAAAAAAAUAGCCAAACCUUUUGUUUUUGAAAAACAAACAAAAUUGUAUUGUUACUGAAUUUUCUAUUUAUA